GAUGAACGCUAGCUACAGGCUUAACACAUGCAAGUCGAGGGGCAGCAUGGGGUUUGCUUGCAAACCCCGAUGGCGACCGGCGCACGGGUGAGUAACGCGUAUCCAACCUUCCCCUUAGUAGGGCAUAGCCCGGUGAAAAUCGGAUUAAUACCCUAUAUUCUUCACAGCGGACAUCUAACGUGAAGCAAAGAUUCAUCGCUAAGGGAUGGGGAUGCGUCUGAUUAGGUAGUCGGCGGGGUAACGGCCCACCGAGCCAUCGAUCAGUAGGGGUUCUGAGAGGAAGGUCCCCCACAUUGGAACUGAGACACGGUCCAAACUCC
rnacentral:rRNA from 1 species